AAUAUCUGAUACGUGGGUCAUUGACCCACAAUGAUAUUAAAUUUAUUUUUUAAGGGGGAAGGUCCACCACAGUAGCUUGCUAUUGGGGCCUUCAGGUGUCGCCCAUGUGUUGCACUACUGCAAGGGCCUGGCACGCCCCUCCGAACUAUUCUAAAUAUUUAAUUUUAACAUCAGAUUGGAAUCUUUAACAUCACUAUUAUUGCUUUAUAUUGGGGCCUCUAGGUGUUGCAUAUGUCCUUGCACUGUGCAAGGGCGCCCCAUACAAAUCAUUCAUUAAAUUACCUGGUUCAUGACUGACACAUAUCUGUUGAAUCAUUUAGUGAGAUAUAUUUAAAAAUUGGUAUGCUUAUUGGCCUAAGCUGUAAUGUAGCUUCAUAAUAAGGUGCUUGUCAUGUGCAAUGAUAAACAGAUCUUUAAAAUUGGUAUGCUUAUUGAACUGCACAUAAUCUCUUGUCAUGUAGCUUCAUAAUAAGCUGUAGUGUAGCUUUGUAAUAAGGUGCUUGAAAUAAUAACUGUCAUUAGUAGAAAUUUCUGGUUCUAUACUCUUCAAAUUGGUAAUGUUAGGGACACAUACUUGUUGUACAAGUAAUGACCAAUAUGUGUUGGUCAGUGUCGUGGAAGUAAAUUAUGAGUUUUACUUUGGAUUGAAACCACCAAAGGGAUUUUAGGAAUGGACGAAGCUCGUCAUCUUUAUAACUCACUUGCCUUUGAUACAUUGUGGACACUCAUGAUAUCUUAAGGUAGUGCAUGUGUAUACAUUUCUUACAACUGUGAAGUUGAACGAGAAACCAGAAGGCGAUGAGGACGUGAUUGAAUCAGAAUGCUAUGUGACCCCGUCUUUUGGGAAGAAGGGCUUUGAUUCUGUGAAUCAAGCAGAUUGUUAAUCUACAAUCUUUCUUGAUGUUGCGUCUAUGUUGUUGACUAGUUGCUUGUAUAUGUGACCCUUUGCAGAGAGGAGAUGCAAAAAAAGCUCCAACAGUUGAACAAUACCUGAUCUUGGUUGCUUCAGAUGCUGAAUAUAUUUUAAAAAGCAAGAGUUUUGGAUACUGGAGAGGCGAGUAUUUCUGCCAAUUUUCCCUUCAUACAUAAUCAAUCGCAUAUCAUGUUUUACGUCUGCAUUGUGAGAAUAGCAUAAAUAUUAGUAUGUGAAAAUCACAGAAUAGUCUGUUGUCACAUCAUCAUUUGGAAUUCUGUUUGAGAAGUUAAGAGUGAAGCAAGGAGAGCUAGACAAGAUUUGACUUUUGUAUCCUGAGAUUACUUGGGAGUAGUUACAAAUACUACCGUCUGAAGAUACAGAUAUAGAUAUAGAAUAACUAUAUGAUAUCUGCUUGUUUGGAGCAGUAAAAAAUAAGCAGUACUUUGUUAACAACUAAUGAGCUACUUUGUCCCACAUCGAUAGCUUAAGAAUAAAUUUCCGUUUUUAUAUUGUUCAAAGGUUAGAAAAUGCUUGUCUCUUCGGAGACAUCUGAUAAAAUUGGAACGAUACAGAGAAGAUUAGCAUGGCCCCUGCGCAAGGAUGACACGCACAAAUCGAGAAAUGGUCCAAAUUUUU